GGAGGUUCGCCGAGCUUCACGAUAUCUCCUAUGCUGCGACAAUCCCUAUCAGGCGAAUGCCCAACAGCAUCAUAAUUCAAAUAAAUCCUAAUAGGCUGCCUUAUAUCCUUCUGCACAGACAACGGCACGGACAACCCAAGCAAAGUCCUCCCUCCAUGGUGAACCGUUGGAGAUGAAUCCGAUUCCUCGUAAACCUGUGGGGUGAUGGAGUACUCCUU
rnacentral:misc_RNA from 1 species